CACACUUUUGAGGUCUUUCGGGUUGUAGCUUGGCUUGGGUUAGGGUAUGGAUUAUACAAAAGGAAAACAAGUGGCUUUUGGUUCAGAGUCGAUGUCACAUCCUGUGUUUGUUUCUUUUAUUUUCUCGAUUUUUUUUUCUUAUUAUUUUUCUUUUUAUCGACUGCCCUUUUCCGUGCUUCUUUUUGAAUCUUUGAGUUAUCUUUUUU
rnacentral:lncRNA from 1 species